rnacentral:lncRNA from 1 species
CAGGAGGUGAGCCUUCAGGGCUGUGCCGAGAUGAAGAGGAGAAGGGAUAAGCCUCGCAGCUGGUAUGUAUUGGGGGUCCUAGCUGUUUGCCGGCCACUGGGUUAAGGGCUCAGUAUGUGAUAGGCCAUUUACUUCUCACAACAGACAUCAAUAGUUUCAUAUUAAAUUUCAGAAAACAGGGAUGAAGAGCAUUAACUUGGCCAAGACGCAAACCCAGAGCUUCUGUGCUUUUGCUUGGUUAUUCCUAGAUUCUGAGAUCAGGGCCCCCGUUGGGUGUUUGGCGGUUUCCUUUAAAGCCAGAGGUACCUGGCUGGCUCAGUCGAUAGAGCAUGCGAUGCUUGCUCUCGGGGUCAUGAGUUCAAGCCCUGCAUUGGGCAGGGAGCCUACUUUAAAAAAAAAAAAAAGUCUAUUUUUAAAAAAGGUUUAUUUAUUUUGAGAGAGAGAGGGGGAGAGAAAGAAUCCCAAGCAGGCUCCAUGCUGUUAGCGCAGAGCCCAGCGUGGGGCUCAGUCUCACGAACUGUGAGAUCGUGACUUGAGCCGAAGUCAAGAGUUAAAUGCUUAACCGACUAGCCACCCAGGCACCCCCCCAAAAGUAAAGUCUAUUAAAAAAACUUAAAGAUACCUUUUAUGAAACACAGCUGAUGAGAGCAUACUGUAACGAUUAUCAGUGCGGAAUCAGGAGCAAUUUACAAAGCGCUUUUUUUUUUUUUUUAAAGUAUGCUCCAUGCCUAGUGUGGAGCCCAAUGCGGGGCUUGAACUCACAACCCUGAGAUCAAGACCGGAGCUGAGAUCAAGAGUCAGACGCUUAACGUACCGAGCCACCCAGGCGCCCCAUAUGUAGUGCCUUUUUUUCCCCUCAAAUUUCCUUGCCUAUAAAAUGGAGAUAGCAAUAAUGCCUAUUGAAUAGGACUUUUCUGAGGAUUAAAUCAAAUAGUUCAUUUUAAGAUUGAGAACAGUACCUGGAUUGUAGCCUUUCUCUUUGAGGUUUAGAUGUUAUUCCUGUUGUUUGUUAGUAGUAGAAGGAGUAUAACUGAUAUUCUUUUAAAUGGUCUUUGUUGGUGAAAUAAAAAGAUCACGAUCUAUGUCAGAACCCAGUCUUACCAUUUAGUCCGUGAAAUCUCCACGGCUGGGAGCCCCUGCCCUUAACCACUGUGCUUUGUAUGUGGAAUGGUGGAAUUCUCGUGUUGAAACGUCUGGUCUCAGUCCCAACAAAGAAAGGAGAGUACUUCACUAAAUGUCCUCUCUGUUCAGGAAGAAAUGCUGAGCUCGCUGCCCGGAGGACACCACACCCCCCUGGGACUGCCUCGCAGAGACUGCGCUGCAGAGGCGGCCUAAAGAGGUAAGAACAUGGGAGCGGGGAGGAGGUGUGGAAGGCAGUGUGGCUCCCCGGGGAGAAGACGCACUUUGGACUCCGAGGGUUUCAGACCCCAGAUCUGCCACCUACUGGCUUUGUGACUGCAGCUGAGGCGUCAUCUGUACCAUGGCUCUUGAUGGGAGUUCACAAGGCCGAAAACCAGGCGAAAUGAAGAUUCAUGCAUGUGGAGCACCCAGAACGGGGCCUGGCGUGCCGUAGGUCUUCAGUAAACAUUAGUCAGCCUAGUCAUGAUGAUUAAGAGACUGCCCACAACAGACAGAAUAAAGAAGUAGGGACACUGGAAGGGGCCCACGUUGGAACCAGAAGGCUUAUAUAAACAAUUUGCUGUCCUCCCAAAAUGCCCUGUGGCUUCUGCUGCCGUCUCCUGACACCCACGGCCCAGGUGCCCCGUGCGAUCCUCUGACUCUUGCCGAUGGACUUGCUACCACGUUAUACAAGCAUUUGGGUUCCAACGUGGACCAUUGGUCCUUCUCUUUAGCUCCUGACACCCCGGCCGAAAUUGGUGGGUGGAUCACAUUAAGCGGACAGAGGGACUAUGAGAAAGCCAGGGAAGCGAUUCCCUCACCAGCGUUUACUGUUCUCUGCUGCGUGGAGCUGAAGUUGUCAGAGACUCUGCAAACUCAGUUGCACCCAGUGACUGUUCUCAGAUCUAAGCAGAGCCCUGGUGCCAGCGGACAGCCUGCCGUGCGUUGUGCUGUUGAGACUCCUGCUUCCUCUAAGAAAGGAUGUCGAGCUCUUUGAGAUUGCUGUGUCCAGGGAUCUGAGGAGACCUUAGUAACUUGACCAGUUUGCCUCCGUGAUGAAAGAGGUAAUCUUGGUAAACUUGAUGAGGGAAGGCGGCUCCUACCGAGGUGCAUCGCUACGACCCCCUCCUCCAGAGCGCCUUGACGGUAGCCACUUGCCUCAAGAGGAGGAAGAAGGGAGAGAUGAGAGGGCAAGAAUACCAGAGACCCUCUUCUUCCUCAGCCGGGUACUCUUUGGGCUCUGACAGACUUGGCCCACAUGUGAUGAGUACGCUUAAUAAAAACCUCACGUGCAGCAGCCUCGCAGAAGGUGUGGAGGCCCCGUAACUCACCCCGGUUGUCCCUGGGUCUACAGUGAGGGAAUGGGAGCCAUAUGUGAUGAGAUUGUUCACCAGACAAAGAUUUUUAGGUUUGUACAUGCUGCUCCCGCAUGUACAAAUUAUCAAACCCAAUUAAACCUCCACCCAGUGCUCGCUUCGGCAGCACAUAGACUAAAAUUGGAAUGUUACGGAGAAGAUUAGCAUGGCCCCUGCACAAAGAUGACACACAAAUGCGUGAAGCGUUCCAUAUUGUUUUAGUCAGUCAGAGAAAGACAAAUAUCAUAUGACUUCACUCAUAUGAGGACUUUAAGAGACAAAACAGAUGAACAUAAAAGAAGGGAAACAAAAAUAAUAUAAAAACAGGGAGGGGGACAAAACAGAAGAGACUCAUAAAUAUGGGGAACAAACUGAGGGUUACUGGAGGGGUCAUGGGAGGGGGGAUGGGCUCAAUGGGUAAGGGGCACUAAGGAAUCUACUCCUGAAAUCAUUGUUGCCCGAUAUGCUAACUAACUUGGAUGUAAAUUAAACAAUUAAUUAAGAAAAAACCUCCACCCAGUGAAACCUCAAAUGUGGUUAGGUCAGUUGGUUAACAACAAACACAGUCUGGAUCUUUACUGAGAAAUGUCUGGGCACUGAAAAAGUGGCUGCUGCAAAAAUAGGAAAGGCUUUUACCAAAGAUCGCUCUGGGCCCGGUCACUCAGUCCUCAAAGGAGGAGAUUGGUCUUCUGCCCACUAAGGAACUCUGGGCCCGUACCGGGUCCCGGGUCCCAUACCCCACUACGGUCUGUAUGGUGAUGGCCCUCUGCCUCUCCUGGUGAAUCAGGAGAUGAAUCAGAGAGCCCUGCGUCUUAGUGUCUUAGUUCAGGACAGAAUUAUUGGCCUGCUAUUGGGUUUUGGUGGACACUGAGCACAUGAUCGAUGGCUGUGAAGUAAUCUUAAGACCAGAAAUCCCACUCGUAUCACAGAUCUAGCAGAUAUCUCAAAUCACCUGGUGGAGGUGGUUCCAGAGUCUUCCAAACUAAAGUACAAAUGGUACAUACUGGAAUGAACAAAACUCAGCCCAGAUGAGGUCUCCUAACUCCAAGAUAAUAUCACGGGAGCAUCCGUCUGGUUCCCUGAUGUAUUGCCCAAGGAGCCACUGCCCCCACUGGCCCAGUGAGGACCCACGUGUGAAGGCUUCCUGGACCACAAUGGGCCUGGCUCACUGUCCGCUCCUCCUGGUUAACUCCUAACCAGCAGGAACGGGGUGCAGCUGCCAUCCAAGCUGAGGGAGACCUCUCCCCUGGCCGGGUGCGGUAAAGGUUGCUCAGUAUAACGGGCAGAGCUUUGUGCAGGGUGAAUGGCUGGCUAUCCAGGCCACCUCAACAAAGGAGGCUUGCUGUGUUUCCACCGACUGAUGUACUGUGGCUAAUGGCCUCGACAUUUUUUCAGGCCUCUGGCAAGACUCAGAUUGGCGUGUGGAGCGAGCCUCCCAUGGGGGCAAGGCAUUUGGGUAAAAAUCAGUUCUGCUUCUUGGGACUCAUGUGGAUGCUCACCAGAAAGACCCCUACGCUGACAAGGGGGAACAUCACAAACGAGCAGACUGUGCCGGUCAACUAAACAUGGAGACUGAAGUGUCUCAUUUACUCCAGAGCAGGCAGAUGUGCCUCUGGGGUCCACAGGAGGAUGGCCGAGUGGGAAUUCAGUGUAGGGAAGGAAAAAUUCUUUCUCUGCUGCCCUUCAAGGUCUUCCAGCAAGACUAAAUUAAAUUUCAUAAGACAGAUUAAUGGGAGAAAAAGCCAGUGUCGUUAUGUGGGCACAGAGGCCCAGUAAUGAAAUUGAGACAUCAAGAAAUGACCAAGGCAGGCAGUAUUUCUACUAUUUAGACAAAGAGACAAGAAACUUGUGAGGAAUUGACAGGAUAAAGAAAGCAGGUGUUAGAAACUUUAAUUAGUAGGGACUUCUGGGGCGCCUGGGUGGCUCAAUCGGUUGAGUGCUGACUUCAGCUCGGGUCAUGAUCUUGCGGUUCGUGAGUUUGAGCCCCGCGUCAGGCUCUGUGCUGACAGCUCAGAGCCUGGAGCCUGCUUCGGAUUCUGUGCCUCCCUCUCUCCUCCUCCCCCACUCACUCUCAGUCUCUCUCUCUCUCUCUCUGUCUCAAAAAUAAACAUUUAAAAAAAAUUUUUAAUUAGGGAAUUCUAAGCAGAAUUUAGGCUGAGGUAGUAGAUUAGGAAAAAAAAACCCCAGGGUUUGUUUCUACAGCUUUCUCAGCUUUAAAGUCUCUAUCUCUGGUCCUAACGACUUUUUUUUUUUUUUUUUUUUUUACCUCUUAGGACAAGGAGGGUAUUUUUCAUAGGGGAGAUUGGUUUCCUGCUUUCCUGGGGACAGGACGGUUUGAGUGUCCUCGCGUUGGCAGUUUCUUAACUUUUAUGUUAAAUUAUCAGUAUGCCAAAGUGGCACAUUUUGGGGUGGCCUGUCCUUGGCCCCACGUCAGAAACCAUCCUAGACCGGGCCUACGUGUGUGGACUGCCACAGCUGUCAGAAGAAAACAUAGGGAAGAAACUCCUUGAUGUUGGUUCUGACAGUGAUUUAUUGCAUGUAACACUGUAGCAGGGUUCUUGCACAGAGAGUCGGGACCCCGAGGCUUUUCUUUCCAGGAAGCAACUUUAUUCGUGCCAGCACCGCUCAGUUGGGUUUGUACCCGAAGAACUGAGCCCCAAAUGCCACGAGGCAUAGUUUUUUAUAUAUUUUUUACUUCUUUGUCUCCCAUAUAUGGUUACACACAAACAUGCAGUCUGAUUAAGUGGUCUCAUGUUACAAGGUCGUGAGGGACGUUGUCAAGUACGCGUAUAGCCAGGUUGCCUUGAGGGUUUUUUUCUUUCCUUAGGGAGGGGACCCUACCACACUCCCCGCUUUGGUGCUCAGACCCCUCUAUUUUGGGUCAAAGAGCAUCAUCUUGGUUUAGAGGUUUAUAUUUUUAUAACAUCAUUACAUGAGUGGCCGUAUUUUUUUAAAUUAUGGCCUCAGUGAGACUGGAGAGACUGUACAACCAGGGGAGCUAAGCAGGGUAGGAUUAAGCAACCUUCCAGAAUUAGGAGGAGGAUAAUUUUUAUGAGAGUUUUGACCCCCCCCCAAAAAGUUGAAAACCAUCUUCCAAAUAACUCCCUGGGGUUUUAACCAUUCCAGGUCUGGACGGGGACAUGAGCAAUUCUUUUCAUUUGAUUUGUGAUCUCUUCUAUGACUUUUUUUAUUAUUGUUUACCUGUAGGCAGCAGUUGCCUAGGUUAAACUUUUUAUAAACUUCUCCCUCCGAAGUAAGCAGGUAAUCUAAGGCCAAGUGAUUUUGAUAGAUAGCAUUGUGUAUUUUGGUUUUCUGCUUGGCUAGUAAGUUAAGAGCUCUGGCAGUUUUAUUGGUUAUAAUUAUUAUAACCGCUUGCAGUCUGAUGAUGCGGUUUAGCAUGUAAAUGGGAGUGCGGUAGCCCCAGGACCCAACCUCUGCCCAGCUGGCAGGGCCAUAAUGCUGGAUUAUAUGCUGCGGGGGGGGGGGGCGGGCAUUUAUCAUCUUUUUAAUUGCCAAUUUGUAAGACACACCACUUUUUUUGUCUCCCUGUCCCCAUGCACGUGGACUCCCAAUUGUUUCCCUCUGGCAAGUGGGAGCAGGAAGAAAGAUGGACGAAGAGUUCCCAGCACCCAUGACCGUGACCAGCCUGAGGGAAGUGCUGUAUAGGCUGUCCUUCCACAUAUCCAGUCUAGUCCCCCUGGGGCCUGCCAUUUGAUGGCUGCGUGGACACUGUCCCAGGCCUCUCAGAGAUGAGAGAAGUCGGACAAGGGGUGGGGAUCUGGCUCAAGGUGCUCUGGGGUCCCCCACCACUGGGUUUUCCAGGUGGUUGAGUUAUAAUAUCUUUGGCCUAGGCAUGGUAAGUUUUUAACAGAGAUGACGAUGAACUUUUUCCCCGCCAGGCAAGGGUUUGGGUUUUUUGAGGACCCAAACCCUGGUAGAACUGGGGUAUUUUGUUUUACUAUAAGGUUUGUGGGGAUCUGAUUUUCUAGUCUCUUAUGGCCAUUGUUUCCCCAUGUCGGUACCACGAAGUAUCCUGUCCCCAAAAGGAAGGUGAGUGCUAACAGAAACCCCUCACCACACUUCCAGCCAGCCGGGGCGGCCUCUGCCAAUCUUACGGCGAAAAGUAGAGUCAGAAUCACAAUAACAGUGAGAAACAAGGGGCGGCAGUGCAUCACAGUAAGGAAACAGAUCUAGAAAACAAGGACAGUCUAUUUGUUCCACCGGACCGUCGAUUCCCCAAGCUUCUGCCGUGCAUAGAUUAGUCAGCUUCCGGAGUGACUGAAGCAGGGAUGCAGUGUCCCCAAGCCUCUGGAGUUGCAGAUUGCUUCUUCCGCAUGGUCAGCUUGCAUGGCGUUGUUGGAUCAGGAACGCACUCCCAGUUUCAAGAUGCCGGCUUCACUCUGCUGUGAUGAAUCCAGGGACCCACCUCAGGCACCUUUACUGCAGUAGGGGUGGACAAAAUGACAGUGAUCGGGCCCCUCCGGAGGGGUUUUAGGAGUUGGACGUUCCACUCCUUUAUCCAUAUUGCGUCUCCUGGUUUAAAAGGAUGAGCGUCUGUGGUCAGACUCGCAGGUAAUCGCUCCCUAACCCAGCGGUGAAAGGUGGUUAGGGUAGAGCCAAGGGCCCCGCCAUCUGUUGCCUUAAGGUUAGACUGCCCAUCUCAUUUAGACGCCCCCACAUGCCCUUGAUAAUGGGGGGACGGCACCCAUAAAGGAUUUUAUAAAGGGAGAACCCCGUCUGCUUCUUUAGCCUCCCACCUGCAGCUGCAGUCUGCCCCCCUGAAGGUCCCUUACCUCCCCCUGCCUAAUGUUACCCCUUUCCCUAGUCAUUCCUCCCCUGGAACAGGGCCUGUAACUGCCUGUAAUGACCGCUCUGACUUCUUCAAGCUGAGAAGGGACGGUGUGGGGGCACAGCAGUUAGAGUCUGCCCGAGGGUCGGUCAAGUGGCCCACGGUGUGGUUCUACAGGGAGGCUGGCAGGCAUGAGGCGGCAUAAACAUUAGUAGGCCCCAAGAGAAAAACGUCAAGGUUAUACUCGCCAACGAGGUGGCAUCUUAAGAUGAUGUCCCCAGUUUCCAAACCUGUCAGACAAUCUAGGAGAGACCCUGCUUUGUAAAUAAUGUACGUCAGGGCAUCUCUCAUAACCCAGGUGAUGGAGGAGCGGGAGCAGUAAGUAGUCCGUGGUGGCUCUGCUUCCAAGAGUUCGGCCCUAACUUAAUUUAAAAAAAUGUUUUUUCAAGCAUCUAAUGCUUGUGAGGUGUUAUUUAGAGUUUUGCUGAGUAUAAGCAGACAGUCUGCUUUAUUUUGGGGUGUAAAACUUUUCCAAGAGCCAGGAGUUCUAGAGAAAGCGUCAAGGCAGCCAUUUACCAUUAUUCAUUUGCAAAUUUUUAGGUAAGCCAAACCUGGGUAUUAUUUUAAAAAGCAGAACUUGUAUUACUUUUUGUGCCUUUUCUGUCUUGGGGGAGAAGGCCUUUACUCCAUUCGUAAAAGUAUCAAUCCGUACCCACAGAUGUUGGGAUUCCUCUGACCUUGGCACAUGCGUGAAACCUAAUUGUUAGUCUUUCCUGGAUAGUCUCCAGUUCCUGGGUUGUCUGGGAGAGCAAGUUUGUGGUUGAAAGGAUGGUUUUUAAGACAUACUUCACAGGCUGAUACUACUUGGCAUAACUGUCCUUGACAGAUUUUUUUUCCAGCAAACAUCCUUUGGGCCAUUUGAUAAGUUUUGUCCCUCCUUAAACGAAAGGCCUAAUGUUGUGUUUUAAUGAUCUUUUUUUAAGCUCUAUGAGCUUGGUAAUAGUAAUUGCCCUGCUCUGUUUGUAACCAUUUCUUUUUUUUUUUUUUUUAAUUUUUUUUUUCAACGUUUAUUUAUUUUUGGGACAGAGAGAGACAGAGCAUGAACGGGGGAGGGGCAGAGAGAGAGGGAGACACAGAAUCGGAAACAGGCUCCAGGCUCCGAGCCAUCAGCCCAGAGCCCGACGCGGGGCUCGAACUCACGGACCGCAAGAUCGUGACCUGGCUGAAGUUGGACGCUUAACCGACUGCGCCACCCAGGCGCCCCUGUUUGUAACCAUUUCAAGGGAGGGAGACAGUGUCUAGGAGUCAGACCCCAGUUUAUUUUUGGGGGGAGAGUAGGUGGGAUUGAGUCUCCGUUAAUAAUUGAUGUAGCAGGCAAACUAUUUUCCUGAACCCUGGUAUCUACAGCCAAAAUGAGAUGGGCAGUCUAACCUUAAGGCAAUAUCCAGUAAUUUUCCAAAACUCAUAAUACAAUUGUUUAUUUGUUCUGGAAUUAGUAGUCCUGUAGUCUCUGAUUUAGUUAUAAUGUCCCUUCCUAGCAAGGGAGUAAGGCUCUCUGGUAUUAUCAAGAAAGAAUGAGAAAAAAUUUCCCAUAUGUAUCCCAAGGGCUGAGAGAAAACCUUAGAAGUUUUCCAGAGAUGCCUCUAAUCGUCAUGCUGCGUUUGGACGGUUGGCCUGGAGAGGAAAGGAGGACAGAAAAGGUAGCUCUGGUGUUAAGAAGGAAAUCAACCAGUUUUCCUUCUAUACUUAGAGUUACCCGAGGCUCUGGGUUUCUGAUAGACAGUUGGUUUAGGGGAGCCACCGUGAAGAGCCCGAGGCCCCGUCAGUCCCUUCCAGGGACAUUGGUUAUCUGAGCCCUCACAGAUAGAGGUCUCCGAGGGCAUUCAGAUCUCCAGUCACUGUCUCCACACAAGGGGCACGGCUUAUGAGGUUUUCGUUUUGGUUGUCCCCUCUGAGGGCAUUCUCAUUUUAGUGCUCUGAACAGCCAUAUAAAUGGCACUUGGUGCCAGGACCUCCGGAAGUCCAGUCUGACACAACUAAGGCCUCAGAUUUUUUUAAGCCUGCUUUUCUGUUUGUGUGUUUUUUUUUAUUCUUAUUCUCCUUUUGAUCUUGGUUGUAAUAUACUCAAUUGGCAGCUCGUAAGAGCUCCUCCAGGGUCCCUUCCGGACCAACAGCCAGUUUUUACAGUUUUCUCUGAAUAUCUGGGGCCCAUCAAGUGACAGAUUUGUCUUUUAGAAUCCUCUCAGCCUCAGGGUGUUAGGGGAGAUAACCAUAUAUUUAAUGAGAGCCUCCCUUAACCUUUCCAGGAAGGCCACCGGGGUUUUAUUUUGUAUCUGAAGAUAGUGGUGAAAUCAGUGUAAUUUAAAGGUUUACCUUAGACCUCCCGACCAUAUAUAAAGUUUUUUUUAAGAUUUUUUUUUGGCAAACUUUUAACAACUUUCCUUGGCUUUUAGAUUUUGACCUAAGCCUUUUUUUUUAAACAACCAGUCUCAUUUAGGACAAAAUUCCUCCUUUUUUUUUUAACCUUUAACAAAAAAAAUAUUUCCAUUUCUUAUAUUUUUUUAUAUAUCUACUCCUUUACACGUAGAGUUGUUUUUAAAUUUUAUUCUUUUUUAAAAAAAAUUUUAUUCUUAACUACAUUUACCAGAAUUUUAACUCUUAGAAACCUUAGUCUCCAGUGAAAACUAAGUAGUAACCAACUGUGAACUGUUACAUUAGAAUUUCUUAGAUGGCAAACUUAUGAAUCAAUUAAGCACAAAGCAGUUUUUCAACAGAUCCAAAUAGCCUUGGUAUUUCCGCAACAAGUCAAAAGCACAGACCUGCAUCUAGUAAUUAGUGCUCUAGCCUCUUGUUAGAUAUCCAAUGAAUUUAAUCCCAAUUUGUUAUGCAAGCAAAAACUUUAAUGUUUUAGAUUACCAAAGACUUUGAAAGCUAUCUUAACAAUUACCCAUGAAAACUAUGAGACAGAUAAAGUUAACCAUUACUUUAAGUCAUCUUUUUGCUAACAAAUUGGAACAGAGAUAACAUGAGCUUAUUUGACCUUCAGCAAAUCUAGGUAGACUAAAAGUUGUUGUUUUUUUAAAUGUUGACAAACAUUGUCUCAAACCAACAAACUUAAAUUAGCUUAAACACAAUACAUGUUACUUGGGUCCACUUAAGACCGUUUGUUCCCCAUGGUUAAUUUUUACCUGGACCAGUUGGUAGGGUAAUCUGAAGUUGGUGAUCUUGGCUCCAGGACAUCUAGGGGGGCAGGGGGAGCUGAUGGUGUCUGACGCAUCGAGGAGCCAGUUGUGCAGGCCGCCCCCCCAGGUGGUGCAGAAACAGGAGGGGGGAAGAGAAGGCAGAAGAGGCGAGGUGCCAGCAGAAGGCAGAGAAAGAGAAUUCCCAGCUUAUCUUGUCCGCUCAGACAGAGCAGCAGACUCCAGGUUUCUUUUGUUUUGUUUUGUUUUGUUCUCCGCUAGUGGAAUUAGGCAGUCCAUGUCGGUUCGGAAAAGUCAGGGAAUUUCCCCGAAACAAGGGGAGUUUUGCAGCUGCUUGGGAAUGUUCCUUAAAGUCCCCGUUCUGAGGUAGACCAGCCAGAGACAGUUGGCUCUAAUUAUCGUAGUCAUUGACCCAGGAAACGAACGAGAGACAAGUCCCCACACACAGUCACAUAGCAACAUCCCACCGCCUCCAACCUGCCACCCAGUGCCCAGCGCCUUAGAGUUGCAGCGUCGUUCCUCGUCCCUUGUAGAACUACCAGGGCAACUCGGAGGUGAUCAGGCUCCCCUUCUGCCUCUUAGGGGCAGGUCUGCCAAAACGAACCCGGGUUCUUACCAGUCUGACGGGUGGCGCUCCUUAAGCUGGUUCCUGGGCCUCACGGGUUCCGUUGACGCACAUGGGGUCCUCGCCCCAGCACCUCUCCCGGCACUCCGAGGUUCGUAUCCCGGUGGCGAAGGAGGUGGAAACGCACCAGCUCCGAAUCCCGGGUGAGCCCCCAAGUAAUAGAGCAGGAUUCUCUCACAGAGAAUCAUGACCCCGAGGCUUUUCUUUCCAGGAAGCAACUUUAUUCGUGCCGGCACCACUCAGUUAGGUUGGUACCCGAAGAACUGAUCCCUGAACACCACAUGGCAUAGUUUUAUAUAUAUAUUUUUUACUUCUUUGUCUUCCAUAUAUGGUAACACACAAACAUGCAGUCUGAUUAAGUGAUCUCAUGUUACAAGGUCAUGAGCGAUAGUGUCACGUAUGCACAUAGCCAGGUUGCUCUGAGGUUUUUUUUCUUUCCUUAGAGAAGGGACCCUACCACAACACAAAAAGCACAUUCAACAAAGCAGGUAUAAACAAGGGGGACUACAUCAAACUAAAAAGCUUCUGCACAGUGAAGGGAACCAUCAACAGAAUGAAAAGGAGAAAAUAUUUGCAAACCAUAUAUCUGAUAAGAGGUUAACGUCUAAAAUAUGUAAGGAACUUACAUAAUUCAAUAGUGAACAAACCAGUAACUGGUUAAAAAUUGGACCAGGGCGCCAGAGUGGCUCAGUCGGCGUCCGACUCUUGAUUUCGGCUCAGGUCGUGAUCUCACGGUUUGUGAGUUCAAGCCCCAUGUUGGGCUCUGUGCUGACAGGACAGAGCCCACUUUGGAUUCUCUGUCUCCCUCCCUCCCUCUCUCUCUCUCUCUCUCUCUCUCUCUCUGCCCCUUCCCCACUUGUGCUCUCUCAAAAAAAAAAAAAGAAGAAGAAGAAGACCUGGAUAGACAGUUUCCCGGAAAACAGGUGCAUGAACAGGUUCUCAGCAUCACUCAUCAUCAAGGAAAUGCAAAUCGAAACCACAAUGAGAUACCACCUUCUAGGGGAGCAAAAUUUGCCACCCCAAAAUGUGUCUCUCUGGCAUGAGGAUUAAUUCAGGCUGAUUAGUUUUAAGGAACAGAAGACCCAGGAGCUUUUUCUUUUUACCUCUUUUUGAACUGCCUAAAAGAAUUUAGAUAGAGGACUUCGUCCAAGAAAAGAGCUAUACCAUCCCUAUAAUCACAGUGUAAUGCAAAGUCGGCGUGGUAGAUAGGGAGAGACCUAGCAAAGUGUUUGUUAAAAUUCCUCUGUGCUUCCUGUUGUGUCUUUAUGGCUCAGGAAACAUUUGUUUCCCAUUUAUUUUUUUUCAUUUUCCCGUGAAUGGCUUUCCUUCCCUUAGAAGUCUCAGACCCCUACCCCUUUCUCCUUCGUUCAGGAUGACGUACGUACGUCAUUUUGCCCAUCUUUGGAAUCUCUUAUGUUUAUGUGGAUUCUCUGUAGGUAUAUAAUUAAAUUCGGUUUUCUCCGAUUGCUCUAUCUUGUGUCAUUUUGAUUAUUCGGCCAACCAGCCAAAAGAACUCAGAGGUGAAGGGGGAAAUUUCCCUUUCUCCAACAACCUCACACCUGUGGGGAUGGCUACUAUCAAAUAGACGAGAGAGAACAGGCGGUGAGGAUGUGGAGAAAAGGGCACCCUCGUGCACUGUGGGUGGGAAUGUCAAUUGGUGCAGCCCCUGUGGAAAACAGUAUGGAGGUUCCCCCCAAAAUCAGAAAUUGAACUACUAUAUGAUCUAACAAUCCCACUUCUGGGUAUAUAUCUGAAGGAAAUGGAAUCAGUAUUUGGAAGAGAUAUCUGCACUCUGUGUUCAUUUCAGCAUUAUUCACAGUAGUCAGAACAUGGAAAUAACCUAAGCAUCUGUAGAUGGAUGAAUAGAUAAAGAGAAUUCAUCCAUCUACAGACGUCCGACAUAUAUAUAUAUAUGUAUAUGUACAUAUAUAUAUGUAAUGUGAGAGAUGUAUAAUGUGAGAUAUAUAUAUAUCUGCUGUCAUCUGUGACAACAUGGGUAAAACUGGAGGACAUUAUGCUAUGUGAAAUAAGCCAGACAGAGAAAGACAAAUACUAUAUGACCUCAUUCAUAUGUAGAAUGUAAAAAAAUUAAGUCAAACUCACAGAAACAGUUGAAUGGUGGUUGCCGGGGGCGGGGGGGCUGGGAAUCAGGGGAUGUUGGUCAAAAGAUAAAGAAGUUCUGGGAAUGUAAGGUUUGGUGUGGUGACUGCAGUUAAUAAUACUGUAUUGUAUACUUGACAUUCGCUAAGAGAGUAUAAUUAUUUUUCUUUUUUUCGGGUUUCAGAUAUUUAGUGAUUCUGUGCAUUUAGAGGGGACAUAUUUCCUGGAUAAGUGGCAAAUUGUGCAGAUGUCUUCUGGAAGACCUUCGUUGUAAGCAGCUUUAUGGUGAAACAUUUCAUUUCGAAGUCUGCACCUUCUUCCUUCAGCUUGCCGUGAUCUACGUUCACAGAAUAGAACCUGUAUUGAUUAUUGCGACCCAGUUUGCUCCAGGUUUCUGGAUUGAAUAAAUAUCAGGCGCAAGACCUACAGCGCUGCCCCAGUACCUCUAGCUCCACUAAAUACGAAGAGAGGGGUCAGGCUUGGCUGCUUCUCGGCACAUCUUGGAAGAUCUGGCGGAACGUGGUGGUGGCAGACGCCUAGGGUCUGGAAGGAGGGAAGAACGAAUCUGCAAGGCGCAGGUGCCCAGAGAAUAGAUCUGAAGCCUUCUUGCUACACACGGAAAAGGUAACUGUGUGAGGUGACGGAUGCGUUCAAAUUAACUUAAUUGUGGUCAUCGUUUCACAGUGUCUACGUAUAUCAAAUCGUAUUGCACACUUUAAGUAUAUACAAUAUUAUUUGUCCAUUAUAAUUAAAGCUGGGAAAAAUUAAAAAUAGUGUCAGAUCCAUCCAUUGAUGGUUCUGUUGAGCUGAACUAUCUCUUUACUGCUUGUCUGCCUACUGGAUCUGUCAGCUACUAAUAGAGGGAGUGUUGAAAUCCCUCACAUUAAUAGUGGAUUAUCUAUUUCUGCAUUUUUAUCAGUUUUUGCCUCUUGUAUUUUGACGCUUUGUUGUAAAGUGCGUAUAUUUCAGAGAUUAUUGUGUCUUCUUGGAGAAUUGACUCCCUUGUUAUGUAAUACCCUCUUUACCCCUGCUAAGUUUCUUGUUCCAGUGCCUUUUUUUGUCUGAAAUUCACGUAGCUACUCCAGCUUUCUUUUGACUCGUGCCGGCUCGGUUCACCUUGCCCUACCCUUUUACUUUUAAUGCAUAUGUGUUUUUAUAUUUCAAUUGGGUUUCUUGUGGACAGCAUAUAGCCGGGUCUUGUUUUGCAUCUACCCUUACGGUCUCUUCUUGCAAUUGGCAUAUCUAGACCACUCCCUUUUGAAGUGAUUACUGACACAGUUGGAUUUACAUCCACCAUGUUCGUGAAAAUUUUGUACCUGCUUCACUUAUUCUUUGUGUUCUUUUUAAUCUUCCUGUUUCUGCCCUCUCUUUUAAUUGAGCAUUUUUUAUUGUUCCAUUUUCUCUUCUCGCUCAGCGUAUCAGUUAUAUUUCUCUUUAACUUCUUGGUGGUUUCCCUAGACCUGGACUGCGCGACGUAAGUCUCCAACCAGUCCAGGUCCGCCUUCAGAUGACACUGCAGCGUGGGCGUAACGGACUUCGCAGCCUCUCACCCCAUCCCUUACUAACACUGCUACGUUUAUUGCGCUAACCUACCUGCUAUCACCGCGCAGUAUGUUGUGGCCGGUAUUCCUUUGAACAGUCGUCCAUUAGAUUAAGUAAGACUAAGAAAAAUAAAAUACGUGAUUUUGAUCUUCACGUGUUCCUUCUGUGACCCCUUUCCUUUCGUUUACGUAGAUCCAAAUUUCUGACCAACGCCAUGUUCCUUCUCUCUGAAGAGCAGCUUUUAACGCUUACCCGCAACGACAGUUCUCUCAGUUCUGUUAGCCUGAACGUUAUGGACUGAAUUGUGUUCCCCUCCAAAGUUGAUAUGUUGAAGCCGUGACUCCCAGCAUGACUGUAUUUGGAGACAGGGCCUUUAGAGAGGUGAUGAAUGUCCACCGUGGUGAUAAGGGUGGAGCCCGGCUGCAGUAUGACUGGCGUCCUCGUAAGAAAAGGAAGAGACGCCAGGGAUGGGCACUUACACAGAGGUAAGGCCAUGUGAGAAGACGGCCAUCUCCAAGCCAAGCGGAGAGGCCUCCGAAAAGGCAGCACUGAUCUUUGCACCUUGAUCAAAGCACCUUGAUCUUUGACUUUCAGUCUCCAGAACUGAGAGAAAAUAAUUUUGUUGUUUAAGCCCCCAGUUUGUGGUAUUUUGUUUUGGCGGCCCUAGCAGACUACUACACCAACAAAGUCUUUAUUUUCCCUUACUUCUGAAGGAUGGUUUUUCUGGAUAUAGACUCCUUGGUUGGUGGGGUUUUUUUUCCAACCCUUUAAAUAUUUCAUGCUACCCUCCUUGCUUGCAUGAUUUUUGAAGCAAGUCCGAUAGAAUUCUUACCUUUGUUCCCCUCUAGGUAAGAUGUUUUUCUUCUCUGACUUUUUAAAAGACUUUUCCUUGGCUUUAUGCAAUUUGAAUAUGAUCUGCCUAGGUGUGUGAGUGCGCACGUGCCUGUCUGUGUACGUGUGUGUAUUGGCGUUUAUUCUGUUUGGCGUUCUAUGAGAUUCCUCGAUUUGUGCUGUGGUUUCCGUCACGGAUUUUAGAAAAAUCCCAGCCAUUAUUAUGUCAAAUAGUUGCUUUUUCUCUUUCUUCUGCUUUUGACAGUCUCCUUAUACAUGUGCUGUGUUUUGGUGAUUGCCUCACAGUUAAUAGAUAGUCUGUCCCAAUUUUUAUUAUUUUUUCUCUUUACAACUCAGUUUGGGAAGUUUCUAUUGACCUAUCUUCAAGUGCUCGGAUUCUAUCCCCAGCCCUUUCCGAUCACCUGACGCGUCCAUCAGAUGAUGUAGACUUUUUCUGUUAUAGUGUUUUCUGUUUCUUGUAUUUCCUUUAUAUUCUUUCUUAGGGUUUCUGUCUCUCCGUUAUUAUAUGUACACUAUCUGUUCUUGCAUGUUGUCCACUUUUUCCAUUAAAGCCCUUAGCACAUGAAUCCUACUUCUUUAAUUUCCCAUCUGAUGAUUUCACAAUCUCUGCCGUAUCUGACUGAACCUGGUUCUGACACCCACUUUGUCCCUUCAGAUCGUUUCUUCUUCCCUUGUGUCAUGCCAUGUAACUUUUGUUGUUGUUGAAAGCCAGUCAUGAAUUAUCAGGUGUUAGGGAGUAAAUUGGCCGUUCGUAUGAGAGUUAUUUUUAUCUGGCUAGGAGAUAUGCUUUAUUUACUCUUUUCUGUACCUGUAGUGUCAGAGGAUUCAGUUUCCACGAGUGUCUUUGUUUUUUGUCCCCCAGCAUCUUUCGUUUCCCUAGACAACCCUUCUUAAGUAGAAUCUGAGCCUUGGCGCUCUCUGAGCAGUAAUCCACUGCUAUUCGGCAGGAGCCCUGUUGAUGUUUGCUCAGGUCUGGACUGAGAAGCAUCCUGUAAUCCUGGGAUUAGGUCUCAGUCGUUCAGUGUACCUGUCCCCCUGGGCUGGGAUCUUCUCCGGUGUUUCUCAGCUUUUUCCCCCCACCUUAUGUGAAGAAGGAAGGCUAUAGGGGGCCUGAAGUUUGGGAAUUUCCCUCACCCCAUGUCCAGGGAGGCUUCUCCCUUGCUGGGUAGGCCUUUCUUGUGGAGAAUGCUCUUGGCUUCUUUCAAAAUGGUUACCUCUCUCUCACCUCUCCCUGGCCCAACAGGAGGCAAUUUUGCUCUGACCGUUACCAAGAAAACCUGGUGAGGAUUCUAGAGGCAGACACCGUGAUGGUGGAGGGAAGGGCUACCUUAGAUGGCCCCCCUGCCAGGAGUUCUCUCAGGCCAGUCCAUGCUCAGCACCACCCCCCCAGCAGGUCAGGGAAGCUGCCAUGUAAGUUACUGCCUCGGGUUUGCUGAGUUGCAUUCAUGGUAACCUGUGGUUUCUAGAAUCCCCAGCUCCUUCAGGUUUGGGGUGUGGUUGGUCCCAUGAGCUCAGUUCUGUGACAUAUCCAGAAAGAGUCACUGGUUCUGUUUUCCUCGUUGUGAAGGUGGGUGAUGAGUUGCAAGCACUUUACGUGUUCGAGUCGAGUCUUUCCUUUGCGUUUUAGACAUUAUUUCCUUAGCUCUACGGACAUAUCUGGUAAAAGUCUUUAGUAAUCCCAUGCCUGUGCUUCCUUAGGGACAGUUCUCUUGAUUGCCCCCCGCCCCCCCCCCCCCCCCCCCCGCCAUACAUGGGCCAUACGUUCUAGAUUCUUCACGUGCCUCGUAAAAUUUUACUGAAAACUGGACAUUGUGAAUAUCAUAAUGUGGCAACUCUGGAAAUCAGAUUCCCCUCCUGGCAGGCUCCGUUGUCGCUGCCUGUUGUAGUUAUCGUUUAUUUAGGACUUCUCUGAAUUAAUUCUGCAAAGACUAUUUUUUGUAUAUGGCCACUGAAGGCUUAGCUUAGUUAGUGGUCGGCAAAUGGUGGACAGAGAUUUCCUUCAGUGCCUGGAACGCAUCAAUCUCCCGGUCAUUUCCGAGAGACUCAGUGUGUGUGUGGCUUUCAUCAUUCAGUCAGGCAGUUUACAAGUCUGUAGUAACCUUCACUAGCCUCAAGGUCAGCCAGGGUUGGGAAGUUAGGGCUUCCUCACACUUUCUUGAGCAUGCACAAUGCCCUAAACGUGUACUUGGCCUUCUAGAUUCCCAGGAAUAUGUCAGAACUUUUCGAAGCUCCUGUGGACUGUGGUGGCCCAACCGAUUCUGUUAAGCUUUGUGGUUAGUCUGGUAAACUUCCCUCAAAGGUUACCUUUCGCCUUAGGCAUCCCCCGCCCCAAACACUUUCCAGUGAAUGUUUUUGGCCAGUGCCCUCAAGAAGAGAUUUUUUUUUUUUUUUUUAGCAUUAGAGGAACUCCUAGUCAGUUCAAAUAAAGACGAGUCCUGGGAGGAAGGUCUUCCAGUGAUCCAUUAGGUUAAAUAAUGAAUAUUUGGGGGGAAUGAGGCUUUAAAAGACCACUCUGCUCCUUCCUAUACUGAAAGGGAGUACACAUAAUCCUGUAGACUAUGGAUUAUAAUGGACCUGGGGGGUAGGAAGAAUGGGGAGUAAUUGCUAACAAGUCGGAUUUCUUCUGAGCAUGAAGAAACAUUCUGAAAUUAGCGUUGAUGAGUGGCACAGCCUUGUGAAUAUACUAAAAACCACUGAAUUAUGCACUUUAAGAUGAUGUGUGAAAUAUGUCAAUAUAAACAAGAAUUGAAGUUCUGAUACAUGGGUGAACCUUGAAAAUAUGAUGCUAAGGGAAAGAAGCCACACAGAAUAGGCCUUAUAUUUUAUGAUCCCAUUUGUUAGGAAUGUCCAGAAUAUUGAAAUCCAUAGACAGAAAGUAGAUGAGUGGUUGCCAGUGGCUGGGGAAAGAGGAAGUGGUGAGUGAUUGCUAAUGGGUAUGAAGUUUCUUUUCGGGGUGAGGAAAAUGUUCUGGAAUCAGAUAGUGAGGAUUGAGGCACCAAUUUGCAGAUACAGUAUACUAAAAACCACUGAAUUGUACAUUUUAACAGGGUGAACAUCGUGGUAUAUGAAUUAUAUCAAUUAAAAAAUGUUGUUUUAAAGGAAAAUGUAAUGCCAUAGAGAGCAUAAAUGCGUUCAUGUAUUCAAAAAAUAUUUAUGGAGUAUGUACUGCUUAUCUGACCUGUCUAGGUACCAGGGACCAGGAAUUGAACAAAAGUCCUUCCCCUCAUGGCCUGGCAGGUGCAGUCUGAAGAGUGCGUGACUCUUCAUCUCGGGGUCGUGAGUUCGAGCCCCGCACUGGGUGUAGAGAUGAGUUAAAAAUAAAUCAGUAAAUAAACUUAAAAAAAGUCUUUCCCCUCCUGGACAGUAUAUUCUGGUAUUAGAAGAGAAGCAGUAAGAUAAAUAGCUAAGAACUAGGGUCUCGGGCAGUGCAAAGGGACAAAUAAAACAGGGAAGGAAGAGUGGUGUCAUUAGAUUUUAGACCACCUGAAUAAGCAGAUGGCAUUUUGGCAAAGAUCCGAAGGGUGGUCAAAAGGCGAGCCAUGAGAAUAUCUCAGGGAAGAGCCUUCCAGGCAGAGGGAGCAGCACGUGCAAAGGCCCUGAUGUGCAGCUGGGCGCGACAGUUGAGGAACAGCAGGGGGAGGAGCGUGGCUGGAGUGAAGAAGGUAGAAAGGGAGAAGGUAGGUGGAGUCGAAGCCAUAACAGUGGCGAAGGGGAAGGGCUCAGACUGCAUUGGUUCUCGCAGGCCACUGUCAGGAAUUAACUUUCAUCUUGCGCUCAGAGUGACCAGUGGGCUUUCCAGGGUCAGAAACUCCCAUCUGUCCCUUUCAGAUGAUAUAGGAGGUUCCUUUUUUGGAACAGGCUCUCCCUCCUUGGGCCACUAAGCCCCACGGCGAGUGCCAGCAUGAACACUGUGUUUAACAGAGUAUCAGAGAUUUCUCGGGACAUGUACAGUUAUGAGAUAAUGCAGACACUGGAAAACAGGAUCGUGCUUUUCACCAUCAAAGACUGUCACAGUCUGAUUGUGGAAGUCAGAUGGGGCGCAGUGUUCACUUAUUCUAGCCGUUGAUAUCAUCUCCUAGGGUCUCUGUACUCGAAGCUUUUGAUAAAGCCAGAGGCUGUUUGCAUCUUGCCGGUUGACCGAGCUGACAUGCUCAGCUUCCUGACGCGAGCUCCCCGGUUUGCCUCUGGCCCGGUUGCACUUUGUGCAUUUACUUUGUGCUACCCACUUCGUCUCUCCGCGGGCUGUGAAUUUCCCCCUGGGGGUGAAGAAAGGGUUCUGGAAAUAGUGAGGAUUGAUGCACAAAUUUGCAAGUCGACUAGAAACCCCUGCAUCGUACAUCGUAACAGGGUGAACAUCAUGGUAUGUGCAUUGUACCUCAAUAAGAAUGUUAUUUUUAAAAAGACAGAAUAAUGCCAUGGAGAGCAUAAAUCCGUUCAUAUAUUUUUAAAAUGCCCGUGGAGCAUUUACCGUUUACCUGCCAUUUAUUUCUAGGGACUGGGGACUGAGAACGGAACGAAAAUGCUUUCCCCGGUAGGCCAUAUAUUCUGGUAUUAGAAGAAAAGCAGGGAGGUCUCUUUUCUUAACAAUAUCUCCGAUCGCUUCUGUGAAUGACUCUGAAGCACACUCAGGAGUCUCCAAUAAUUUGUUCUCUGGUUUCCUGAUGGUGCUUCACGUAUGAUCUAGUCCGUUGUUCCUGCUCAUGAGGGUCCCGAAAGGCAACAAGUGAACUUCCCUCAAAACAGACCAACGCGGUGAUGCUUUGUUCAGAAUUGCCAAAACCUGGAAGGAACCAAGAUGUCCUUCAGCAGGUGAACGGGUGAAUAAGCUGUGGUACGGCCAGACGGUGAAAUAUUAUUUAGCAUUAAAAAGAAACGAGCUACCAAACCAUGAGAAGACAUGGAAGAACCUUAAAUGCAUUAUCACUGAGUGAAAAGGCCAGUCUGAAAAGGCUCCGUGCUGUAGGAUUUCCAGCUAUAGGACAUUCUGGAAAAGGCCAGACCGUGGAGACGGGAAAAAGAUCAGUGGUGGCCAAGGGUUGCGGGUCAGGGGAGGAGGAGUAGCCGGAGCACUAGAUUUUUCGGGCAGUGCAGCGACCCUGUGUGACACGUCGAUGAUGGCUGCGUGUCCCUGUACAUUGGUUCAAAUCCAUAGAAUGUACAGCAUUAAGAGCCGCCUGGUUGAUUCUCCAGACUCGUGUGGAGUCUCCUCCUCACUCCCGCUAUCCAGCCACAUGGCCUCUUCUAGAAAAUAUGAACCCUCCCCACCUCAGGAUCUUUGCCCAAAACCUCGCUCCUGGCGUAUUUCAUACUUAUUCUUCAGGAUCGGCUUUCAUGUCCCUCCCUCGGAGUGGCCUUUCUUGACCUCACAAACCUAAAUCUGAAUCUAUUAUAUUCUCUCUCCUUGUUCCGUGUUCCUUACAUGGACACACUUACCACCCUCUGUGGAUUUAUUAGUUUACUGUCCGCAUCCCCAGUUGGGUGGCAGAUUUCAUGAAUGUAAGGAAGGCACCUGCCGUGUUCGCUGAUGUAUUCCCAGCACGUAGCCCGGGGCCCGACGGGAGGAGGUGCUCAGUUGACCUGUCAAAUGCGGGAGUAAAUGAGUGGGCUCUGUGAGGUUGAUGUUAUUAGCUCAGAGUACUUCAGCUGCCACACAGCUAGCAAGGGGACAGAAAUGGAGGAGACCUCAGAAUUACAGUUCCUAGGUGAAUAUACCAUCUAGGAAAGUAUUUGCUAAGGGGAUGGAAAGUAGGGGUGGGGGGGUGUGGGGUGGGGGGGCGUGGACCUGGCAGGUGAGAAGAUUCCAGACCAGUGACUCUCAGGGAGAUGGCCCCAGGCGUGUUGGGGGGUGGGGGGAUGGGGUGAGAAUGUGCAAGAUGCAUAUUCAGUAUUUUACAUUUGUUGAAAAAUACCUUCUGUUUUCAUAAAACAGACCGCUGAAAGACUGUCCCUUCCCUGGCUGGGAAGGAAAAUAGGAAAUAGGGCGCCUUUUCCUCUAAGGGCAGAUUUUUCAGUUUCCCAGAAGGAAGCAGGUUUACAAGGCCAUGGGGAAACGGCUGCCCAAGGGCAUUCUCGCACUUACCUAAGCAGAGUGGAGGGCAGGAGGGCGCAGGCGAUGUCGGGCGCGGGCCUGCCAGGACCCUGUUCGCACAGGGAGAGCAGGUCGGGGUGACAGCACCCCACAAGCUGCACGCUCCACCCCCCAUCUCACAGACCGCCCUUCCCACCCUCCAGGCUGCACGUGGCUUCGACUCCCCACGCCCCUCCAACCACAGCCCCCACCCCUCCAUCCGCACCCAACCGCAGCUCCGUUUCACCCCCCAUCACCGCCAUAGGCUUCACAUCGGCCCAGUCUUGCCUCAUCCCACCGCCCAGACUAGUCUCGUCGCCCUCCUCUGCUGGGCGGCGGUGCCCGAGCUUGUCUGUGACACUAGCGUGCUGGCGUGUCCGUGAGGGACAGGCUCGAGGUUAACAGCCAUGCGAACGGGGAGAAGCCAACGUUGUGUGCAGUAGGGCCGGCAGCCGGGGUUGUGCUUGGACGGUUUGCUUUUGUUGUUCUUUGGCUUGGAUUGGGGGUGGGGGGCUGCUAUUUGGGCAUGUAGUGGUUUUUCUGUGUGCAUCUGUCUGUCAAUGUAUAGGUUCCAAAUCGUUUUUCUGGGAAAAGACCCUUAUUUUUCUAGAGUGAUUUGACCCAUUUUUGGUGAAAUGCAUUAACUUUCCCCUUUCGAAAGACUGAUGGGGAGGGAAUAAUGGGAAUGACUUCAUAUGCCAAAGAAAACAGAUAAGGUGUGAAGAGACGUUUUAUCAACAUUUAAAUCUCCACGUGCCGUUUUGGUUUUGUUUUUAAGAACUUCGCUAGGAAUGAAAUUGACUAAGUCAAAGAAUGUUAGAGCUGGAAGAAACUUUUGAAACGAAACCAGCUUCUCAUUAUUAUUUACGUAGAACAAGAGGCCCAGAGAGGGUAAGUGACUUGUCCAAAGUCACAGAGCACUUGAAUGCCGUUGGGGCUGAUUUCCAGCCUGGAGCUCAAGUGGGAAGCGCAGUAUCUCUCAGUGAAAAGACAGUCGUGUGAUUUUUAAAGAUUUUAUUCUAUUUUUUAUUGUAUGGUUAUUGUAAGAGAAGUUGGGAGAACUUAAUGUUUUAAUUUGCCUGGAGUUCCUACCACUUCAAAAUGAUCCUUGUGAGUAUUUUUGCUGUAUAAUUUUCCAGACUUUCUAAUGUAUGUGUAUCCUGGUAAAAAAAAAAAAGCGCCGUAUUUAUUAAAAUUGGUUCACACUGUGCACACUUCUUUGCAAUGUAAUUCGUAACAGAUGCAUAACUAUUGUAUUGAAUGGAUGUACUUUCAUUAACUUAAUCAGUCCCUAAGAUAGACAUAUAAGCUUUUUCAAAUGUUAAGCUCUUAUAAAAGAUGCUGCAUUAAAGAUUCCUG